rnacentral:rRNA from 1 species
AGAGUUUGAUCAUGGCUCAGAUUGAACGCUGGCGGCAUGCCUAACACAUGCAAGUCGAACGGCAGCACAGCAGAGCUUGCUCUGUGGGUGGCGAGUGGCGGACGGGUGAGUAAUGCAUCGGGACCUACCCAGACGUGGGGGAUAACGUAGGGAAACUUACGCUAAUACCGCAUACGUCCUACGGGAGAAAGCGGGGGAUCUUCGGACCUCGCGCGGUUGGAUGGACCGAUGUGCGAUUAGCUAGUUGGCGGGGUAAUGGCCCACCAAGGCGACGAUCGCUAGCUGGUCUGAGAGGAUGAUCAGCCACACUGGAACUGAGACACGGUCCAGACUCCUACGGGAGGCAGCAGUGGGGAAUAUUGGACAAUGGGCGCAAGCCUGAUCCAGCAAUGCCGCGUGUGUGAAGAAGGCCUUCGGGUUGUAAAGCACUUUUAUCAGGAACGAAAUACCACGGGUUAAUACCCUAUGGGGCUGACGGUACCUGAGGAAUAAGCACCGGCUAACCUCGUGCCAGCAGCCGCGGUAAUAC